rnacentral:rRNA from 1 species
GGGUGAGUAACACGUGGAUAGCCUACCUAUAAGACUGGGAUAACUUCGGGAAACCGGAGCUAAUACCGGAUAAUAUAUUGAACCGCAUGGUUCAAUAGUGAAAGACGGUUUUGCUGUCACUUAUAGAUGGAUCCGCGCCGCAUUAGCUAGUUGGUAAGGUAACGGCUUACCAAGGCAACGAUGCGUAGCCGACCUGAGAGGGUGAUCGGCCACACUGGAACUGAGACACGGUCCAG